CUAAGGUAGCGAAAUUCCUUGUCGGGUAAGUUCCGACCUGCACGAAUGGCGUAAUGAUGGCCAGGCUGUCUCCACCCGAGACUCAGUGAAAUUGAACUCGCUGUGAAGAUGCAGUGUACCCGCGGCAAGACGGAAAGACCCCGUGAACCUUUACUAUAGCUUGACACUGAACAUUGAGCCUUGAUGUGUAGGAUAGGUGGGAGGCUUUGAAGUGUGGACGCCAGUCUGCAUGGAGCCGACCUUGAAAUACCACCCUUUAAUGUUUGAUGUUCUAACGUGGACCCGUAAUCCGGGUUGCGGACAGUGUCUGGUGGGUAGUUUGACUGGGGCGGUCUCCUCCUAAAGAGUAACGGAGGAGCACGAAGGUUGGCUAAUCCUGGUCGGACAUCAGGAGGUUAGUGCAAUGGCAUAAGCCAGCUUGACUGCGAGCGUGACGGCGCGAGCAGGUGCGAAAGCAGGUCAUAGUGAUCCGGUGGUUCUGAAUGGAAGGGCCAUCGCUCAACGGAUAAAAGGUACUCCGGGGAUAACAGGCUGAUACCGCCCAAGAGUUCAUAUCGACGGCGGUGUUUGGCACCUCGAUGUCGGCUCAUCACAUCCUGGGGCUGAAGUAGGUCCCAAGGGUAUGGCUGUUCGCCAUUUAAAGUGGUACGCGAGCUGGGUUUAGAACGUCGUGAGACAGUUCGGUCCCUAUCUGCCGUGGGCGCUGGAGAACUGAGGGGGGCUGCUCCUAGUACGAGAGGACCGGAGUGGACGCAUCACUGGUGUUCGGGUUGUCAUGCCAAUGGCACU
rnacentral:rRNA from 1 species